GACGAACGCUGGCGGCGUGCUUAACACAUGCAAGUCGAACGGAAAGGCCCGGCUUUUGCGGGGUGCUCGAGUGGCGAACGGGUGAGUAACACGCGAGUAAAAUGCCCUUGACUUUGGGAUAACUUCAGGAAACUGGGGCGAAUACCGGGUAGGAGCUCCUGCUGCAUGGGGGGGGUUGGAAAGUUUCGGCGGUUGGGGAUGGACUCGCGGCUUAUCAGCUUGUUGGGGGGGUAGUGGCUUACCAGGGCUAUGACGGGUAGCCGGCCUGAGAGGGUGACCGGCGACAUUGGGACUGCGAGACGGCCCAGACUCCUACGGGCGGCAGCAGUGGGGAAUCUUGCGCAAUAGGCGGAAGCCUGAUGCAGCAGCCCCGCGUGCGGAAUGACCGCCUUCGGGUGGUAAACCGCUUUCGCCGGUGCCGAAGCCUGAGUGACGGUAAUGGGUAAAGAAGCCCCGGCUAACUACGUG
rnacentral:rRNA from 1 species